UCACCAUGAGAGCUGUACAAAGUGUUUUCAUCUUGGCUCUAAUUUCAGCUGCUCGGGGUCAGUCCCUCACCUCCUCUGAGCCAGUGGUCCACAGACCAGGAGAAUCAGUCACUCUGUCCUGUGAAGUACAAGGACUUUCUCUUGCUUAUCUGCACUGGAUCCGACAGAAACCAGGAAAAGGACUAGAAUGGAUCGGAUACAUUGAUAGUGGGACUGGCACAAGAUUUGCCCAAAGUCUCCAAGGCCAGUUUUCCAUCACCAAAGACUCUUCCCAGAAUCGUGUGUUUUUGACAGUGAAGAGUCUCAAACAAGACGAUUCUGCAGUUUAUUAUUGUGCAAAAGAGCCACAGUGACACAAGAAGCAGAAACACAGAACAAAAACUGAUCAACACUCGUGUGUGUGUGUGUGUGAGAGAGACAGUGAAGCGAUUCAGUGUUUAAAAACAUCUCAUCUUAAAUCCUAAUUUAACAAUGGAUCAUGUUACAAACAGUGUGAGUUUUAUAGUUUACUUCACUGUAUUUGUAAGAAAACAACUUUACUGCAAACAUAAUAAACAUGAAUUUAUUUGUAGUAAAACCAACCUGUUAGUACCAGAAAACCGAGCAGCCCUGGAGUUAACUAGCUAGAUGAAAACAUUUUUAAGCUUUAUGACAGAAACUCAAAACAAUCUUUAUUUUAUUAUGCAUGAAAUUCAAUUUUAGCCUAAUAAUUUUUC